AUACCUUCCUGCCAGGCUGCAGGUCCCUCCCCGGCCCGGGGCAGCCCGGCGUUGAGAGAUGGAGCCCAAAGACCAGCCACUAAUGCUGAGGGGCACGGGGCUGAGCUGCUGCCUUCACCUCUUCACAGAGACUGAGCAGAUCCCAGAGCAGCCGCCCUGGUGACUGCCUGCAGGUGGCACUUCGAAUCCGCCUGCUCAAUGUCGCAGAACUGGAGGAGGGAGCCGCGGUCAUCGCCCACAAAGUGGGGGACCAGAUGGUGGUGCUCAUGGACCCCGGCGAGGACCCUGAGGACGUGGCGCGCACACACCGGUCCCGGGAGUGGACCUUCAUCUUCGACAGGGUGUUUGACCAGCAUGCGUCUCAG
rnacentral:sRNA from 1 species